UGGUGUGGAAUAGCCCAUCGAAAGAUGGGGUAAUACCGCAUGAGGCUCGUACUUCGUACGAGAUUUUCCAUUUUCGAAUUUAACAUUUUCCAUUGAAUUUUCGAUUGAUCAAUUUUUAAAUUGAAAAAUAAAAUGAUAGAUGGCAAAUGAUUAAAUGGACGAUUUCGCACGGAGUGCGAGUUAAAGGACGUAACUGUCCGCCGAGAGAGAGUCUUGCGGCCUAUCAGCUAGUUGGUAGGGUAACGGCCUACCAAGGCUACGACGGGUAGGGGGAGUGAGAGCUCGAACCCCCAGAAUGGCACUGAGAUACGGGCCAUACACCUACGGGUGGCGCAACCGGGAAUCGUGCGCAAUGGACGAAAGUCUGACGCCGCGACGCCGCGUGAAGGAUGAAGGCCUUCGGGUCGUAAACUUCUUUUGCCAAGCGGGAGACUUCUUGGCGAAUAAGCACCGGCUAACUCCGUGCCAGCAGCAGCGGUAAUACGGAGGGUGCUAGCGUUAUCCGGAUUUAUUGGGCGUAAAGAGUUCGUAGGCGCCCCGUCGCAUCUUGUUUUAAAUCCCAGGGCUUAACUCUGGAAAGGGACAAGAGAUGGACGGGGUUGAAAGGUUCCGGGGCUACUGGAACUCACGGUGUAGGAGUGAAAUCCGUUGAUAUCGUGAGGAACACCGAGGGCGAAGGCAGGUAGCUAGGAAACCUUUGACGCUGAGGAACGAAAGCUAGGGGAGCGAAAGGGAUUAGAGACCCCUGUAGUCCUAGCCGUAAACGAUGCUCGCUAGCGGUGUGCCCCGCAAAGGAUAUAUCCUUUGGAACUGUUAACUUUUAACAAAAUUGACAAAUUAACUAAGAGAUUUUUCCUCGUUAAUGGUUAACUGUUAAUUUGUUAAUUGUUCGCAAAAAAAUGGAUACAUUUUUUGUGGGGUGCGUCGCGUAAGCUAACGCGUUAAGCGAGCCGCCUGGGGAGUACGAACGCAAGUUUAAAACUCAAAGGAAUUGACGGGGACCCGCACAACCAGUGGAGCAUGUGGUUUAAUUCGAGACGAACCGAAGGACCUUACCUGGACUUGACAUCCCGAUGACAGUCCUAGAAAUAGGAUCUUUUUAAGCAAUUAAAACAUCGGGACAGGUGUUGCAUGGCUGUCGUCAGCUCGUGCCGUGGGGUGUUCCCUUCAGUGGGGUAACGAGCGCAACCCUCGCCGUAUGUUAAAUAUCCAUACGGGACCGCCCGAGUCAUUCUCGGGAGGAAGGCGGGGACGACGUCAAGUCAGCAUGGCCCUUAUGUCCAGGGCUACACACAUGCUACAAUGAAGCCGACAAUGGGUUGCCAAGUCGUAAGACGGAGCUAAUCCCAUCAAACGGCUUCUCAGUGGGGAUUGAGGGCUGAAACUCGCCCUCAUGAACGCGGAAUUGGUAGUAAUCGCGAAUCAGCUAAGUCGCGGUGAAUACGUUCUCGGGUCUUGUACACACCGCCUAUAAUAUUUAUAUUUAGGAACAACGCGCCUUGCAGUCAUAUCCUCUAGUAGGUUAAAAUCCUACCUCCGGUUAAAUCGGGGUAGCCAAAAAAACAAAAAGCAG
rnacentral:rRNA from 1 species